rnacentral:rRNA from 1 species
GUCUGUAUGGUUGUUAUGUAGAGUCUGGCCUGCCCACUGAUAUAAAUUAAAGGGCCGCGGUAUCUUGACCGUGCGAAGGUAGCAUAAUCAUUAGUCUCUUAAUUGGAGGCUUGUAUGAAUGGUUGGACAAAAAGUGAGCUGUCUCAGCUGCAGAAUUUGAAAUUAACUUUUAAGUGAAAAGGCUUAAAUAAUCUAGGGGGACGAUAAGACCCUAUAAAGCUUUACAGUUAAACGGUAUAUCAUAAUGUGUUAGUGUAACUUGGUUAACUUUUAAGCUGUUUCGUUGGGGCGACGAGAAUAUAAUAAAUAACUGUUCUUUUGUGUAGUUAACAAUGGUAAUUGGUUAAAAAAAUGAUCCUUUAUUAAAGAUUAAAAGAUUAAGUUACUUUAGGGAUAACAGCGUAAUCUUCUUUGAGAGUCCAGAUCGACAAGAAGGGUUGCGACCUCGAUGUUGAAUUAAGAGUUCCUUGUGGUGCAGCAGUUGCAAAGGAGGGUCUGUUCGACCUUUAAAUUCUU